UAUAAGAUUUGUUCAGCCGAUUGUGC
rnacentral:piRNA from 1 species